AUGAGAAUGAAGAGAUAUUUUUGUCUGGUUUUGCGAUUCUUCUAUGAUGAAGGUGAAAAUGAAGAUUUAAAGAGAGGGAGAGAGUUUUCUUUUUUGAGAUUUUGUGGUGUAUUGCUCUUAGUGAUUGAAGAAUCCCCCAAAUCCAGGUGCAUAUGGAACCUGAUACAUGUGAGGCAAUUAUUUGAAGAAUGUAGCAGGUUGGUUCUUUUAGGGCAUAAUGGAGAGAAUGAUUUAGAAGAUUCGGACACGUUGGUGUAA